GAAAAUUUUAAUAAAAUAAUUUUUCGACACUUCCAUAAUGAGUUGUAUAUUUAAAGAAAUUAUUAAAUACGAUGCAACAGCUAUUCUGUAAACUGUCUAUCAAUUUUAGCCACAUUUAAGCAAUCGACACCGAAUAAAACGGUGUAUUUAGAAAUACAUUUCACUAUUUUCCAAUAAACUACAACAAUCUUCCAAUGGUUUAUAUACUUUCCUUGCCUUCUAAUAAUCUUCAAUAGUAUAGUUAUAUAUUGUCACUUUCAAUCUUGUUAUGCCAUGCUCUCUUUUAAUGUACAAAAUGUAAUGUAAGGUAAGUUAAGCAUGGGUUUGAUUGGAAAAAAAACACCGACUACUUAUUGCCUAAUCUUACACGACCAAAUUUUUUUUUUUUCCGAUCAAAACUAUGUUAACUUAACUAACAGAACCGAU